rnacentral:snoRNA from 1 species
AUCGUCCAGAUUCCUUACCCUCAGAUCCAAACAUUGGUCUGAAUGGCAAUAAAAGGAGGAAAAGCAAUACUGCGGGGACGUGGAUUCUUUGGCUUCAUUUCAAACAAUU